CCACUUCUUCAAACACACCUGCUCCACAAGAGCUCCUCCAGCGAUCAGACAGGAAACCAUCUCAUAAGAUCUGACUCCAACUGCUGCAGGGAGGACACGAGGAGGAGGAGGAGGAGGAGGGGACGGAUGCACCGUCUCCAGAACAGACACCAGAGGUUGAACAACUGCUCUGUGCAGAGGAUACCAGCCCUGAUCGUCCACCUGACUGAAGGCUGCCGGGAAAUCACAGAGCUCCUGCAGAGCCGGUCGUAGGCCAGAAGGUCAUCUUCAUCCGUGUCCUCGGCUGCAUCCGUGUCCUCGGCUGCAUCCAUCCCCCUGACAUCGCACAGAGCUCAGUCGGCGUGCUGCCGCUGCUGCUGCUGCUGCUGCUGCUGAAGAGGGAGGAUGCGUCUGAGUUUGGAGCAAAUGUUGACAUGGCUGACAUAGUCCAGCAGAAUCAGCACCGCGCUCCCGGACAGAUGCAUGAGGCAGCAGAGACUCAUGAACUCGCAGAACUGAAAAGACAUGAGCG